rnacentral:tRNA from 1 species
GCCCGGGUGGUGAAAUUGGUAGACGCAGGGGACUCAAAAUCCCCCGCCGCGAGGCGUGCCGGUUCAAGUCCGGCCCCGGGCACCA